rnacentral:rRNA from 1 species
UUAUUUUAUAACAUUUGCAGUGGGGUUUGGGGAUUUCUAACAUAUAGAAAGAUCUUGAUUGACCAGCCUAAAGUGAAGAAAGAUCCCAGGGGAUGGGAGCUCAAAUUUGCAAGGAGAAGUUUCUUCCAAUCUCAAAGAUCAGUGUUAACAUCAGAGCUUAGUGUGAAGUUCUUCGCUCAUAAGGAGAAGACCUCGGAUAAGUCAACCGGCAAAGCAUCUAUGUUCAUGGGCGGAACUCUGCAGCCAAAAUUUAAUUAUCAGCCCAGAAGGAUGUUUGGUACAGUGGCAUUGACGCUGUUGAAAGCGCUAAGGAAGGCAUGACGAAGGAGUUGGCAAUAUCUUGCAAUUUACCCCCAAUCAUGUACCUGCAUUCAAGUAUUCAGUGUGCAGGAUGUGCUAAACGUGGGAUGUCGUAGCAAAGUAGCAGUAACUUAAGCUCAACUUCGCAAUAAUUCUGAAUCAUGUUUUGUAAAGGAAGUUAAAAGCCCAUGCGAGUGAGACAAUGGUUGCGGUGUGGCUGACAGUAGCCACAACUAUUACUCUUUUCAAUCAUAAUGGUGCAAGAAUGUUCUAUUCUCCUUAACCUGAU